rnacentral:rRNA from 1 species
GCCAGACUCCUACGGGAGGCAGCAGUAAGGGAUAUUGGUCAAUGGGGGAAACCCUGAACCAGCAACGCCGCGUGAGGGAAGACGGUUUUCGGAUUGUAAACCUCUGUCCUCUGUGAAGAUGAUGACGGUAGCAGAGGAGGAAGCUCCGGCUAACUACGUGCCAGCAGCCGCGGUAAUACGUAGGGAGCGAGCGUUGUCCGGAUUUACUGGGUGUAAAGGGUGCGCAGGCGGCACGGCAAGCCGGCGGUCAAAUCGCGGGGCUCAACCCCGCCCAGCCGUCGGAACUGCCGGGCUAGAGUGCAGGAGGGGCAGGCGGAAUUCCUGGUGUAGCGGUGAAAUGCGUAGAUAUCAGGAGGAACACCGGUGGCGAAGGCGGCCUGCUGGACUGCGACUGACGUUGAGGCCCGAAAGCGUGGGGAGCAAACAGGAUUAGAUACCCGAGUA